AAUCACUUCUUUUCCACUAUCUGGCUUCAUCCUGAUACUACUCAGGCAGGCUUGAGCCCCUGCUAAUCUGUAGGGAGGGUGAAAUGCAAAGAGGUUGUUUUGCUUUGGGGAGUAGAGAAAUGAGAUGGAAAUGACAGAGGUCUUUGAUAGAAAUGUAAAGAUGGGAGUACCCAGGAAAUCAACAGAGCAAGUCAAAAUUCAAAACUACCAUCCAGAGUACUGCACUCAAGAGUUUAGGAUCUGUUGUUGCUCUAGUCAAAGUGCUAAUGAUGGCUCUGUAAGCAACCUGGCUGGGCUCUGAGAAUUCAGGUGGGGUUUGUACCAGGAGCAGCUUAGCAGACCUUCCUCCUGACCUCCUGAUGCAAUUAGCUGUGGUCAUGCUGUGCUCAGAGAAUCCCCUCUGAGUGCAGCUGCAGUGAAGAAGCAGAAAUUUCUGAGGCAGCACAAACUUGCAAACCCUUCCACAAGAUUAUCAAAUGACAGCAGGUUGGAGCUGUUUGUGCCAUAAACACCAAAGGAGCCUCGGUUUGUCAGAGUCCUGAACUUCAUGAGGUGCAAACCACGACUGCUCACCAGCUGGAGUAAGGGGUAUUUACAAUUUUCCUUGGCCACCUCUUUAACUGCAGUUGGAGGAAUCAAUCAAGCUCUCAUGGUCCCUCAAGGAGGUGGAGAAGCUGAGAGCUGAGGAACAAGCAGGCUUUCAACCAUGCACAGUGUUUUCUUUUCUCUUAAUUUCUUUCUUCAGGUCAUUUUCAACACGGGUUAUUCCUCUGUCUCCUCAACUGGAGGAUCAUAACUCUAAUUUCUGCACUUCUGCUCUCAGGAGACCCCACCUGCACCCAGCUCUGGGUCCUGAGCACAAGAAGGACAGUGACCUGUUGGAGCAAGCCCAGCAGAGGAACAUGAAGAUGAUCAGAGGGAUGGAGGAGCUUUCCUGCGAGGAAGACUGAGAGAGUUGGGGUUGUUAAGCCAGGAAAAGAGAAGACUUUGGAAUGCUCUAAUUGCAGCCUUGCAGUGCCUAAAGGGGCUACAAGAGAACUGGAGAGGGACAGUUUAAAAGGGCUUGUAGUGAUAGGACUGAGGAACAAUCACUUUAAGCUAAAAGAGAGUAGUGUUAGAUGAGAUAUUGGGAAGAAAAUUUUACUGUGAGGAUGGUGAGGCACUGGAACAGGUUUCCUUGAAAAUUUGUGGAUACCCCAUCCAUGGAAUUGUUUGAGGCCAGGUUGGAUGGGGCUUGGAGCAACCUAGAGGAAAUACCUGUAAUGAAAUGGUUGAUGGUGCUCACCAAGGCUCUAAUUUUUGUCAGAUGAGCAGGAGCAAAUAAAUUACUGAACACCUCCCUCUGCCACCUCAGGUAAGCCAACACUCACCAAGUGAUGAGCUUAAGGCAGCAGAGAUUUGCCUUCUGAUUUUAAUGCACUGCAUAUCAAUCAUGUGUAAGGACUGAGGGAUUGUUCUCAAAAUUUCCAGGAAAUAAGACAAACCUGUACAGUUCAGGGAAUUUGAGCUGCAUGGGCUGUGAGUUGACAGUAGCACCUUGUGUGGCUCCUGUUCACAGCUGGGACCACCACCCCAGGAUCUGUUUUUUUAGUGUGUCUCAGAACUCCCUGAGCUAAGUCAGCACAAGGAUAAAUCCCUUCUCAUCAAGCUUUGAACCUAAACCUCAAGGAGGAGGAAACUGUCUCACAUCCCAUGUGGCUGCUGAGCUUUGUGCUCAGGGGUAACCUGACAGGCAGACUGGAGAGAAAGUAUCCUUGUAGGUGCAUUUCCACCUCUGGGACAGAGCCUUUGGGAUUAAGUGUCCAAUAUUUAGGACACAAAAGGAUGUUCAGUGCUCAGUCCUGACCUCGCUAUAACCUGUGGAGAAGCAGCAAAGAUUCUCUUUAACCAUGUAUGGCAUAAACAGCGAGGAAGGCGCUUGUAGCAAAAUCAGGAAGGAAUCUGAUAGAGAGCCCCAAAGAUAAAUGCCACUUUAGGCAAUGUUGCUUUAAGCUGUUGACAGGAGCACCAUCCACAGAGGAACUGUGAGCUUUAAGUGCUUCUCUGCUUCUGGGUGGGAUAAGGUGUCAUGUAAAAUGCAUUUUGUGUUCUUGUUUCAUCUCCCUCUCUCCACUCUUCCCCUGUGAGAGCGCACACACCGAAAGCAUUAAAACCAGACUGCGGUGAGUUUGCUUCACUAAUACAUCUCCACAUCAAAGGCCUUGCUGGAGUCCAUUGAUUCUGGCACAGUUGCAGAAACCAGUGACGUUUUCAGUGAGAAAUCAUGCACUUCUCGGUUGAUUUCGGGAAAGGUUAAAAAAAAAAGGGAAUAAAAAAGCUCUACCAUGUGCAAAUAUUCACCCUACAGAGAGGCUGAUAAACCGUAAAAUGUUUGGUCUGGCUCCCUUGGGGCCAGCAGUACUCAGAGAUGACUUUAUUGACAGACAGAUGAGCUUUAGCUUACAUGAUGUUACAAAAACCUGUCCUAUUUAAGUUUUGUUUUCUCUGUUUGUGAAUAACAUGGGACAGUUCUUGUCUGACGUAUUCUUCCCUUCCUAUUUCUGAAGCAAUGCACCCUGUGCCAAUGAAUAGCACUGGGACACAGCCCCGUGAUUUAUCUCAAAAAGCCCAGAGAUUAUCAAUGGCCCCAGGUCAGAAGCACAGGGCACUUUGUUGUUAUGCUUUGGGAGUGGCCCAGGCAGAUUCAUCUCCAACACAGGUGUACCUUGACAGCAUUCUCAUUGGAUAUCUACUUCUGCUCAUGAGAUCCAUCAGCUAUUUCUACUGAAAAUACUUCUGCUUUUAACUUUGCCUCAUAGACAUGAAACCAUUGUAUUUCUAUGUUACUUUAACUGAAACUACUCAUUUUCUACUGAAAAUGUUUCUGUUGUAAGACUUGUAUUACCCUUGUGUAUUGGUGCAAAAUCUGAAAAUGACAUAGGUCAAACCUGAGUGGGAAGAACAGUUUUGUUCUUCUCUGGUUCUGGAAUUUCAGUAUUUGUAGGACUCUUUGGCUGCACUUGCUUUGCAUCCUGCCCAUGAACAGCUUCCGAAAUGCAAGAGCAUUAAGGUGUUUUCAAAAGGUGCCUGCAGACCACAUCUUUUCCUUAGAAAUAUCCUCCUUGAGGCCCUCCCAGUUCCAGCCACUCACUUAUUUCUUCAAACAGAGCCCCUAAACACAAGUCAGCAGCUGCAGCCCUCAGGAGUGGGCUCUGCUGGUGGCACUGCUGUCACUGCCAGCCACAGCUUGUCCUGGCAGUGCUGUCCCAUGCUCAGAGGCAAUGGGGCCUUCUCCUCCUGUGUGCCCACCAGCACUGGGCUGGACCCACAGGACACAGUGAAAACCCACCCUCACCCCUCAGUGGGAAGAGUAUCCUCCUGGGCACCUAAUUAUAGUGAGAUGGAAAAACGUCCAUGAAAGGAUGAGGUUAAGUUUUCCAAUACGUAGCACAACAGUAAUCAAUACUUGCAUCAAUACUUAAUUUAUCUAUGUCAAGCAGAACAGCUCCAGCAGGAGGGAGUGAGAUCAUCUCUUCCGACCCGCCGUGUGCCGCGGCCCAGUCACACCGGGUGGCAAACGAUGGUUUAAAUCCCUUCACUCUCAGGCCUUCAUUCUCAAAAGCUUGGAUAUGAGGGUGCUGCUGCCAGCAAGACUUUGCCAGGAUGGCCCCACCCUUAGCUCCUGCACAGAAGGAACACCUUAACCCCUCUGUGAAUCUAACCCCAGACCCCUAGCCCCUGAAUAAAAACACACAUGAGUCUUCUUUGAUCUUGGGAGAAUUUUCAGCUGCCCUCUGAUGAAAGGCAUUUGCCUCACAGCCACUGAGUCAAGCCUUUGGAGAACUUUUCUGCUUCUUAUGAGGAGCUGCAGUUUCAGUAAGAGGCUGCAGCGCUCCCCAGAUAUCAUCCCCCAUGAACGUGUUCUCCCCUGCACUGCAGCAGCUGCUCAGCCAAGGUAUUUGCAAUGUUCCCCAUGAGAUAUUCAUUUUUUGGGCACCUCCCCGCAGGGACAUCAACGCUGUGACUCAGUGGCACUGAGAGUUUGGUGGGAAGUGGGGGAGAGCUGCCUGCCACGCACAAGCGGUGACAUAAGUGGUGGGCAAGUCAGAAACAACAACUCCUCUGUUGCAACAGGAGGUGAAGGUUUCAUCUCCCCAUGAAUGGUUCCCCUCACAGUGACUAAGCUGUUCCCCUCAUCCAGCUCAUGGAGAGACUGUGCCAUGUGCUGUGUAUUCCUGUAAACCAGCCAGCUUCGGGUCAUCCCAUCCCAAGCCUUCUCAGAAGAGAUCUCUCAAUGUGCUGGUUUCAUGAAAGGUGCUGAACGCAGACUGAAUUGAAUUUCAAUCACUCUUUCCUUCCUUGUUAAAUGCUUCUCGUAGGAGUUGCAGCCCCUCAGUUCAGCUGACAGGAAGGUAAGGAUAUCUCCCUCUCAACCCCUGUGUGUUCAUGUGUUCACAGCCUGGGUCUUGCUCCUGAACUGUGCUGUGUGUUAUUACCCCUUUGCCUGCAACAUGAGAUGACCAUCAACAUUUUCACCACACUCUUAGUUUUCACAGAAAAUCUAUUUGGUGUUAGUGACAGCUGUGAACUUCGAGCACAGUGUCUGCUCCUGGGCACUUCAACCAAAACUGAAGAAUUGAGUCACAUGUGCACUGUGGGACAGGGGUGCUGGCACACAGGCCUGUCCAGAAAAAGCUAUCCCAGACCAGUUCCAGGAAUCACUGAGGAAAACUGAAGAAGAGAAAUUGAUCCCAGUGGAUUCAACAAAUCUCAGAUUGCAGAGAGAUUCCAAAUUAAUUGACAAUCCUUCUUUCUUCAAGGGCUUGUGUUUCUAAGCUUUCAGUGGAUCAUGAGUCCCUGCUGUUCAGGGUUACUUUGGGUUUAGACCUUGCUCUGAAGGUCUGUUUCAUGACUAUCUCAUUAUCUGAGACAGGUGCCCAGCACCCAAACAAGUGUCUCCUGCUGCCCAAGCAAUUGUGCAGGCUGUCCCUCCUCUUUUUGGGGACAGAGCAUGUGCCAAACAUCCAUCAGACAGGCGAGUGCAUUGCCGGAAGGGGCUCAGACAUUGUCAUGGAAGUGAACACAACAGCCUGCUCAGAACACAAUAGAGUCUCCAGUUUAUUCCUAAAUUAUUAAUGUUCCCUGAGGAGUGGCUGCAUGCUGCUGGCUUGGGCACUGUGGGAACACAAUCUCUUCCCAGCGAGGCUGUGGGCUCCUCCCCUCGGUAUCUCCAGGUGGGAUCACAGUGGAGCUUGGCCCAUCCCAGGAGUGUUAUCCAAGGGGGCAGGACGUGGCUUUCAGUGCCAGCUGGGAGAGGACACCCACAGCAUGGGGUGGCAGCCCCAUGGGUGGUGUGCUGUGGGUGGCAAAUGUCCUCUUCCCUUGUUAGCAGUCUGGCAGCACCUUUCCCAAUGGAAAACAACAUCCUUCACUGCCUUGGGGUUUGUCAUCACCACUUUUUUGAAUCUCCGUUGUCUGCUCUGUACACAGGAGGAUAGCAAGCCAGGAGUUGGGCUCCCUCACCCCCACAGACUGUGAUUCUGCUGUAGGGUGACACCCCUCAAAGGCUUUUAAAGGUGUUUCAGCUCAGUCUCACUGUAGCCUGGAGAACAUCCCAGAGUGCACGAGCACGGACAAAAAGCUGAGGGACACUCUCCAGGGUGGCCUGGGCAGAUCUCAGAGGGAAGAGGUGUGGGACAGCACCUAUGGAAUUGUUCCAACCCCCGAGCAAUCCAGAUACCUCCACCCUUACACCAGAGCUGUGUCUCCCCACUGGACAGUGCAGCAGAGGUAUCAGUGAGGCACCCCAAGGGCAGGAUGCUGGGCUCUGGCAAGACAUGGGUCUCUUGAAGGAGAGGGAAUGGCACAAAAUGGUCACAGCAGGGAUUCCCUCUGACAGGUCCUGGUGCUGAUCCUGGCUGUAAAAGGGUCCUGGUUUGGCUGCUGGAAUAAAGAGUGAUGCUGAAGGAAGUACUUCUGAACCUUAGGGAAUCAUUGCUAAAGCUAACAGAGAGUGAAACCCAUCCUAAAACAUCCACCAUGACAAACAGCCUGGAAAGAGGGAGAAAUAAGUGAAUUCCAACAGAUGGAACCUAGGAUGAGCUAGAGCAAGUGGGGGAAGAGGAAAGGUAGGGAGGAGGUAUUGAGACAGCCUCUGCAUAGUUCCACUUCCCCUUUUUUCAUUUGUGUGGCAAUGCCAUUCAUUAGGAAACAUGAAUCAGUGGCUUUUCCCUGCUCUAUGCUUCUCAGAGAGCUGCAGCAGCUCUCCACAAGACCUGGAGCAUCUUCUCCCUGCCCCUGCACUGGCACAGGCUGAGGGCAUGGAGCCACCAAGGACUUGCCCUGCCAUGGCCAAGCUCCAGGGUUGUCUCACAAGGUUUUUGGCAAAUGUCAGCAGGAGCAAGGGUUGGCACAAACACAGCACUGCAGCAGAGGAAGUUGUUGUGCUCACACAUCUUGCCCAGCAAAGGUGGAGAAUGGAAUUUAUGGCGUUUCAAAGGCACACACACGGUUUUGGCACCUCUGUCAGCAUGAGAGGUGUCACUGCCAUAAAACCUCCAGCAGCAUCAGGGUGUUAGCUUCACCAGAGCUCUACCACAUCUCCUCACCUUGUCUGCAAGGAGCCAGGCUUUGUCCCUGCACUCAGGGGAGAGCCACUUUCCUGGCUCAACAGCUUCCUGGGGAAGGUGGAUUUACACUGACCCCAGCCGUGGGUGGUGAAGUGUGGAUGCUGUCAGGCCUGGAGAUUUCUGUCACCUUCUGUCACCUUCUGUCACCUUCUGUCACCUUCUGUCACUGGCUCCUCGCUUCCAUGCAGAGCACAGUGAGAGCUUCAGCCACAGGGGUUAUGUGUCUGAGUCACCUGCACGAGCUCUGAACCUGGCUGUGUCCUCUGGACACAGUGGGCCAUGGCAAAAUGUCAUGUAGGACAUCUUGUAGUAGAUAGAGAGGUCCUCCUCCUUGGGCACUUUCCAAAGUGACACUGCCCCGGGCAGAUCAGGCACCUGGGUGCCAGCUUUGGAGGUGGGUGACAGUCACACAGGAGAAGGGAAACCAUAGCCAAGGUCACUGAUUUCAACAGCAAAUGGCUCAAAACUAGAGGGGAAACAGGAUCUGGAGACUCUGCAGCCAGCAACUCUCUUCCAACACCUCAAGAGUCAGCAGCCCCCAAUGGAAGAGGAGGGUGGCCCCACAGCACUACUAGUCCCCCUACUACAACUCCCCUGGCUCUGUGGGUGGGUAGAAAAGCCACCUCACGUGGUGUCACCUCCAAGAGUCCCUCAGUCCCCACAGAGCCCGGUGGUGGCUGCAGCCACCAAGCCCCGUGGUGCCACAGGACUGUCCCCACAGGUCACACCCUCCCCUGCACUAGGGCCCUGCAGGGUUUGGUGUGGCCACCAAGUCUGCUUGGAAAUGACAUUUCAGUCCUGCUGGCAGCCUUCCAACUUCAACAUUCUUUUUUUCUUCCUUGAAAAAAGUCAAAGAGAGAAGUGAGGCCAGGAGGGGUCAAAACAGAGACAAGAGGGGCUCAAACCAAUGGCUUCUGACACUUUGUUUUGGUAAGGACUCCUAGAAAGGCUUGUCUGGGAAUGGGACAUGUUGAAAUGUCUUAUUUAGAUGGAAAAUGCCUUAUCUAGUAAAGAAAGUUAACUUCCUUCUCGUCUUAGACGCCUAAAAAAUUUCCCUUGGCUUCCUUCCACACAGCUGACGGACGACCCCAUUCCAGCCCCACAGCUGCGUGCUGGCUGCACUGUGUCCUGUGCAGGGGGCAUGGUGUCACUCCUCUGGGCCUGGGAUAGCAGCCAGGGUCCCUGAGGGUGGUCCUGCUCCCCCCAGUGGGGAGCUGAGGGGAUGGGUGCUGCUAGAGGCACAGGGCAGCUCCCUGUCUGCCUCUGGCUCUUCAUCCCGAUGAGUUUUGGCAGUAAUUGUCUGCAGAGUGGAGACAGGCUUUAGUUAAAGGGCACUGACCUUCCCAUUGGUCAUUGUCAGCCUGCUCCAUUUCAUCUCCAUCUCAUCUCCAUCUCCAUC